rnacentral:SRP_RNA from 1 species
GUUGAGCAUGGUGCUACAAGCCCAUAAUCUCUGCUAUCUGGAAGCUGAAGUAAGUGGAUCUCUUGAACUCAGGAGUUUUGAGCUGCAGUGGAUUAAGCUAAUUGGGCCUCUGCACUAAGUCCAGUGUCAAUGUAGUGAGCCACUAGGUUACCUAAGGAAGAGUAGAAAAGCCCAGGUGGGAAACAGAGCAGGUCAAAGCUCCUGUUUCAAUCAGUAGUGGGAUGGGACCUGGUGAGUAACCACCACACUUUCAUUUUUGCAAGAGAGAGAGACUCAGUCU